UCCCUCGAGCCGGAUUUGAACCAGCGACCUAAGGAUCCACCGUUGUAACAUCUACAGUCCUCAGCUCUGCCAACUGAGCUAUCGAGGG
rnacentral:tRNA from 1 species